rnacentral:lncRNA from 1 species
AUGAUGAAUGGAGCAAUAGAAGCUGUAUUCAUCUGGUUGUGUAACUGGUGCUCAGCAGCAGCUGUAGCAACUGUCAACAUCUGUCAAUCUCACCUUGACUUGAUGGUCAAAGGUAAGACAGCUGGAUCAAGCGAUUUAGAAAGUAAAAAUGAAAGAAAACCUGCCCCCAGGGGAGAGUUUGAGUAUUUAGUCUACGGGACAUGGGGCAGACCAGCAGGGUCCCUGAUGGCAUUCGGAAUGCAGCUGCCAGGGGCACAGCAUCCUGGGAACAAAGCCACAUGCUUGGUGAGCCUUCUGGAGACUGCUUCUUAAAAUUCCUGCUUACGAAUAACCAAGAGGAAACUGUCUCAGCAGGAGGAAAUGUCAAAAAAUGCUUACCUAGGAAAUUUGAGAAAACAUUAAAAGAAGUACCUGGCUAUGAAAGUUAAGAAGAUUUGGGGGAAUUUGCACGUAAUCAGUAGUGUGUUCAGCUUCUUUGCCCUCGGUGUGGGGUGACUUUAAGUUUAAUGUAUAUUUUUCUUCUAAUCAAAAGCAAGCAAAGCUGAUUUCUUUGUUACUUUCAGAGGACCAACGAAGGAUGAUGCUUUCUUAAUUUCUGAAAUGUUGAGAGAUGUAGUUGAAAAGUGUAGCUCAUCAAAAAAAAAAAAAAAGAAAGAAAGAAAAAGAAAAGAAAAAAGAAAGAAAAAAAGAAAAAAGUUCAAUAUCAACAAGUUUCUCUGAAACAUAGUUACUUUUCAUCUUCUUUUUCACCUAAAUCUUCCCCCCCCCAGCCCCCGCUCUCAGAGCUUAUGGAGUUGGUAAGCUGGCAAGUGUUUUUCUCAACUUUAUAGAGCUGCUACUCCACCUAGCUUGUAAGAGAAAAUCCAGAAUCAAAAGAAUAAAACAGUGUAGGAAGAGGUUGGGAGUGGUAAGCCAGGAGGAAAGGCAAGGGGAAAGUGGGGAAUGUUCAAGAGUGCGCUUGAAGCCUGGAUCUUGACAUACAUGGUCAGCUGAUAUGGAUUCUCUGCCCUUGUUAGGCAUGUAGAAUUGCAUAACGAAAUCUACAAAUGAAAUUGAAUAAGACAAUGAAAUGGUAGUCCCCAUGGCAGGAAUAAGAAGGAGUAGGCCAGUCAAUACCACUCCCAACCCCCAACCUGGCAGAUGUGGCAGUUUCGCUGGAAGCUGGGGCCAUCAGGCCUGGGCAUGGGGCUGUGAGCUGGGGUUAAGGUUCUAUUGCCCUAAUGGGGAUGAAGGGGAGGAGGCCUGUUUGCGGAGGAAGCCCUAGCUGAAAUUCAUGUUGUACACUUGGGAUCUUCAAAGGGUCUCUCAAUUCGUAAAAAUGGAAAAAUCUAUCUCCUGGCUCAGAGACAUGACAAGAAAGCACAGUGUCUGUCUCAGGCUCUAAAUGGAUUUUUAAAAAUCAGAAGAACAUAUUCUUUGAGAAAUCUAAACACCCCAUCUACACCAAACAUGGGGGUGAGUUCUAAGCUUAUAUGUAUGGUGUGGUAACCCCAAGCUGAGAAGUUAACAUAAAGUGGUCCAGGAUUCAUUGUGCUCUUGGCAGAAGAGUAAAACACUAUUCUGUAGGACCAUCCGGACUAUAUAAAACACUCUCAGCAAAGACCAUUGAGGAAGAAUUCACAAUAAAAAAAAUAAUUAUAAUUCAGACAAGGGGGAAAAAAGAACUAUAAAGGAGAAUCAUCAAGACAAUGUGCAGGAGAAUUAGCACCCCAAGAAUAGAAGUGCAGAAAUAAAGCAACUGAAAGAGAUUGUAGGGUAAGAUCUAAGAUCCUUUAAUGGUUUGGAGAAAGGCAGAGAGGCUGAUGAACUAUAUUGAGUACGUUUCUUACAAUAUAAGGAAAAAAAUGUAAAACUUUGAAGCAAAUUGAAGAAAAAUAAGAAAAAGGCCAAAUCAUUCAACAGAAGGCAAUAAAGGAGAAAAAAAAUAGAGAAUGACAAUUAAAAAGCAAGCAGCAGAAGAUAGUUUAGAUAUACUAGUAAUUCCAAUAAAUGCAAAUGUACUAAACCUCUUUGUUAAAAGAGAUUCAUGGGUUAGAAUAAAACAACCAAAUACAUAGGAUUCAUCAUAAGCUAUUUCCAAGAGAUAAAAAUGAUAUCAUAAGGUUGACAAUUGAUGUUGGGGGGGCAGGGCAAGACGGCAGAGGAGAAGGUCCCCAAGUCACCUGUCCCCACCAACUUACCUAGAUAACGUUCAAACCAUCCUGAACACCUACGAAUUCGACCUGAGAUUUAAAGAGAGAACAGCUGGAACGCUAGAGAGAGAAGGGUGUUCGAUUCUAACAAGGUAGGAAGGUGGGGGGGGGGGAUAAAAGUUGGGGAGGGGCACCCCCCAGGAACCGGGCUAAGGCGGCGGCAGGAGCCUGGGGACAGGAGAGCCCAGCCCCGGGGAGUGAGAACUUGAAGAAUCUGCACCAGAUUCUUCCCGGAUGGAAAGGUGCUCGCAGGGACCUCGGGCAGGAUCCCAGGAGGGGCUGUGGAGCCUCCAGUCUCCCAGGGUCACUAACAGAGGAGGGGCGCCCGGG